AGGAGCAGCAGCAGCUGGAGCAGGAGCUAUGGUUUGGGAUAGCCCCAAACUUCACAUGUAUUGGGUUAUACCUGAGAUCGGGCCACAACUACAACUUGUCCUCCCGUCCUCUGUGGGCGAAGAGUACAAAGUCACCAAAUGCAGACUCUCAAGAUCCACUCAUUAGAGAAGCAGGAAUAACAACAAGAUCUGGACAGAGCACCAGCACUGCAGUAAGACAGACCGGCUCCCUCUGGUCAUUUGAGGUUGACGCCUCUGCUUUAGCCUUCAGUGUGACAAACACGAUGCUGUUGUCAGGUCCUCCCACCACCUGCACCGCUCCACUUUUGAUGACGUACAUCUCUUUACCGAUGUCGCCCUGCACAGGCAGAAGUAAAAGUUUGGAAAAGAUCUUAAUGCCAGUAAGUCUGCAAUUCAUAGAUUUAGCCGAUUUUUGUUGUUGAUGUUAUUGUUCUGCUUCUGUCUCAUCAGUUUUUUUGUGGAGUGCAGUUUCUGUGCAUCCUUCAUUUGACCAGACCUGAGAUGAUAUACUACCAGCAGCGUGGGGCUGCUUAAGCCAUCAAACUGCUGAAUGACUGGGGUUUGUUGAGCAGGAGAAUUCAGGUCUGAAACGUUGUGUGUGGUGGCUUCAUGUUUUCAUUCAUACUCUUGAGUGCAGCUCAUAUCUAAAUCUUUAUGUUGUGUGGGAAGGUUCUCAAUCAUAAUCAUCUUCAGGACUUGGCUGAAGGCAAUUUGACUCCUUAUAAUUAUAUAUAAUAGACAUUUGACACACCACAAGGUUCUGAAUCUUCUCUGUGGAUCCCAAACCAGGUUCUUUAACAGUGACUUUUCCAUACACUUUUAACCCCAGUUGUGUCUAUCGAGCUCACUUUUUUGACGACAAAGUCUCCAGGUAGAUAGAUGAUGGACUUGAGCCUCAGAAGCAUGUCCACCAACAUCUGCUGGUCACAACCCUGAGGAAAAAAACCACACAGGAAUGAAUCUGAGUUUGCCUGUUUUUACAGUGCCUCUGGUGUCUCUUGUCACGAGGCUGCACCUUGAA